rfam:Heterocephalus glaber contig137618, whole genome shotgun sequence.
GGGGAUGUAGCUCAGUGGUUCUGGCACCUGCCUCACAAGCACAAGGUCCCGAGUUCGAUCCCUCGGUACCCCCC